CCUAAUUGCUUCACCCCUCUACCCAAGUAGGCUCAUGAAUAAUACUUUAUCAUAAGGGGAAUAGAAAUCAUGAACUUUUUACCUUUUAAGGCUAUUUACUCAGUCUCUCCCUAGUAAAAUUAGGACCUUAAACCAUUUUAAGAUCAUGUCCCAUUUCUAAUCAGGGCUCACUUUCCAACUUUAUUAAAUAGCAUUUGAGCACAAGAUACAUUCUUAAACAUUUUGAAAAACAUUAACCCAGAAUGUAGGGGCUCAGGCUAGUCAUCACUCUACAAUCUGAUAAUUUACUGAGUAUUUGAAAUGAAUGAUUAAUGCCCUAGGAAAUAGCUUUAGCAAAUGUCCAGGUGCCACACCAGAAAAAGUGCAAUAAUUUACUGACAGUUUUCUAGACUAGGCUUAUUAUUGGAGUACAACAUUAUGAAGAGUGCAUAUUGUAUACAGCAUCACUUAAGAAUAUCCACUUAUGAAAUCAGAUCUAUAGUAGAAGUCUUGGAUAGUAAACAGGGACUCUAAUACAGAUACUCUUAAUAUUUGGCUAUUUUAGAACCCUUAAAGGGCAUAAUUAUUGGAGACUUAGGUACCUCACUAAAGUGUGUACAUAAUAUUGCCAAUAAGAAAGAUUAAUUUGAAAAUUAGGGAAACUUCUCUAAACUGUCUU
rnacentral:lncRNA from 1 species